rnacentral:rRNA from 1 species
UACAGAGGUCUCGAGCGUUAGGCGGAAUCACUGGGCUUAAAGCGUGUGUAGGUGGAUCGUUAAGUACCUUGUGAAAUCCCACGGCUUAACCGUGGAACUGCUUGGUAUACUGGCGGUCUUGAGCAACCUAGGGGCGAGCGGAACAAAUGGUGGAGCGGUGAAAUGCGUAGAUAUCAUUUGGAACGCCAAUGGUGAAAACAGGUAGCUGGGAGUGUGCUGACGCUGAGACACGAAAGCCAGGGGAGCGAACGGG